GACAAGGCCAUAGAAGAAGUCAAUGUCCUGCUCGACAAUCCGCCUUCCACGGAUUCUCAUCCUUGGCGAAUCCGAUAUGAACCUCUUCCUACCCUUUCUAGUGCGCCACAGUGCCCCUCCAUCGAGUCCCCUCCCAAACUUGAGUUAAAGCCACUUCCGGUAACCCUUAAGUAUGCAUUUCUAGGACUCGAAGAUACCCUAUGACAAGAACCCACCAGGAGACCUGCCCUAGGAACCCUUGAAUCAAUUUGCUAUACUUGCCCCGAGAUCGCUAGAAAAACAAGUUGUAGGAGAUCAGAUUAGAACUCUAAGGAAACUAAGUCCUUAAAACCCUAAUCCUUGAAGACGCCACAAAGGUUGAUCACUCCCUUUG
rnacentral:lncRNA from 1 species